rnacentral:rRNA from 1 species
UACGAAGGGGGCUAGCGUUGCUCGGAAUCACUGGGCGUAAAGCGCACGUAGGCGGCUUCUUAAGUCAGGGGUGAAAUCCUGGAGCUCAACUCCAGAACUGCCUUUGAUACUGAGGAGCUUGAGUCCGGGAGAGGUGAGUGGAACUGCGAGUGUAGAGGUGAAAUUCGUAGAUAUUCGCAAGAACACCAGUGGCGAAGGCGGCUCACUGGCCCGAUACUGACGCUGAGGUGCGAAAGCGUGGGGAGCAAACAGG